GCGUCAGUAGUGCAACGGGUUAGAGCACGCACUCUCGAAUAGAGUGAGAUGUGAGUUCAAGUCCAGCGUGGCGCA